UACGAAGGGGGCUAGCGUUGCUCGGAAUUACUGGGCGUAAAGCGCACGUAGGCGGCUUUCUAAGUCGGGGGUGAAAUCCUGGAGCUCAACUCCAGAACUGCCUUCGAUACUGGAAAGCUCGAGUCCGGGAGAGGUGAGUGGAACUGCGAGUGUAGAGGUGAAAUUCGUAGAUAUGACACAGAACACCGAUUGCGAAGGCAGCUGACGAAACUGUAACUGACGCUGAGGCUCGAAAGCGUGGGGAUCAAACAGG
rnacentral:rRNA from 1 species